GUUGGUUGGGGAUGUAGCUUGGCAACACUGUGCCUGCCUGGUAAGCGCAAGGUCCUGAGUUUGAUUCCUGGUACUGAAAAAAAACAAAAAAACAAAACAAAGAAACAAAAAAACAAAAAAAGAAAAGACAUGCUGCUCUUAUGGAAAGGUGACUUUUAUUUCCACCCUGAAUGAUUAUUACACCAUUAUUUAAACAUAUCUGAAAAAAUCCUGAAAUAAUUUAAACAGAAGGCACAGAACAAAUCAAAAUAUUUAACUGUAAGAACUUAAGUGAGAAAAUUCAAACAUUUCAACAGCAACAAUAAAUUAUGAACAGGUCUCCAUCACCAAAUAUCAUUCUGAUCAAAAGCUAUAGUCGCUCCUUAUAACUCUAUUGUGUUGGCUGAUUCCCAGAUUUCCAUGAUAAAAAUACUGAAAAAAAUUCUUUCAAAAUACUCAUUAGACCACCAGGUUCAGUGUAUUUUACAUAUGACCAAGUAGCAAUUAUGCUAUUUGUUGAUGGAUGCCCAACCCCUAAGAAAUGACACAUUCUUAAAAACUUUAAAAAAAGUAGCAAUGUUGGUUACAAAAUUCUAUUUGGGGAACAGAAAAAAAACUUGUUCCAAGUCAAUUAGAAUAUCAAAGCAUUUCAAUAUCAAAUUGCUUGAAAAGCCAAUCUUCAUGUAACAGUAAUAUACUGCAUGGGGCAUUUCACUGUAUCCUGAUUAAGUAUCGACUAUACAGUGUUGCUGCAGGGUUGAACAAGUCAGUAGCGAUUAUUGUCGCCAAUUCUUGUUUAUUCCAAAGAGAUAUGUUUUUUUUUUUUGGUACCAGGGAUCGAACUCAGGACCUUGCGCUUGCGAGGCAGGCGGCAGAACCACUGAGCUAAAUCCCUGGCCCUGAAAGAGAUAUGUUUUUACAAAGCAUUAUAAAGCUAACUGGAAUAAUCAAUAAGAUGCUACAGAUAUAAUAAACCACAGCAAUGCGUUUGAAAAUGAAGUGGUCAUGCUUCAUAAUAUACUGUAGUAUUUGAAAUACAUUCUAUGAUUAUCAAUACCAUUUAUUACAGAGGUCACUUGGAAAUUAGCUCAGAUUCUGAACUAGCUCUCUAAGUGAAACUUUUUUCAAGUAUGCAUAAUAUUAGUAAAGAUUUUUUUUUAACUUUCUUAUGUGUUCAAAGCACAACUGUGUUGAAUAUGGGAUGAGACAGUUUUCAAAACUAUUUUAAAAAUAUGAAAUAGUCCAGUGACCAAGAGUGGACUGAAAGAUAUUAACAUAUAAAACCCACUAUUUCAGAUUUUAAAAA
rnacentral:lncRNA from 1 species